AACCAGACUUACCGGCCCUAUCUGCAAAGCUGCACAGCACUGUGUAUGAGCCACACAGCCUUGAGCAGGGAGCCCCACCUCUCCAUGCCGGUUUCCUCAUCAGUGAAGCUGGGGAUGACAGUCCUUGUCUCUGCACAUGAGGUUUUCCAAGGAUGAAAGGGGACCACAUGCAAAGCACACUUAGUACUAUGCCCAACAGAUAUUAGCAGUGACGAUGCCAAUGUGUGUCUUUCUGCUAGUUUGGAGUAUAUCCAAGAGAUCGCUGGCUGCCGAACUGUCCCAGUGGAAGUUGGUUCGAGGUACACAGAUGAGGAAUGGUCCCAGACCCUCAUGACGGUCAACGAGUUCAUCAGCAAAUACAUCGUGAAUGAGCCAAGGGACGUCGGGUACCUUGCUCAGCACCAGCUCUUUGACCAGGUAAGUCUGAGGCCAUGCACCUCUGUCCCUCACCGUCUCACCUUCCCCUCUCCUCCCCUCCUGGGCUCAGUGCGGCUGGAGCAGUGAGCGUGAGUAGGAGGGAGGCAGCAGGUGAGGCUAGGAAGGUGACAGGACGUGGGUGAUG
rnacentral:sRNA from 1 species